rnacentral:rRNA from 1 species
GAUACCCGGGUAGUCCACGCCGUAAACGAUGGUCACUAGCUGUUUGGACUUCGGUCUGAGUGGCUAAGCGAAAGUGAUAAGUGACCCACCUGGGGAGUACGAUCGCAAGAUUGAAACUCAAAGGAAUUGACGGGGGCCCGCACAAGCGGUGGAGCAUGUGGUUUAAUUCGAUGAUACGCGAGGAACCUUACCAGGGCUUAAAUGUAGAGUGACAGGUCUAGAGAUAGAUUUUUCUUCGGACACUUUACAAGGUGCUGCAUGGCCGCCGUCAG